rnacentral:rRNA from 1 species
AUUGAACGCUGGCGGCAGGCCUAACACAUGCAAGUCGAACGAGUAGCGGAUUGGUGAGUAAUGUCUGGGAAACUGCCUGAUGGAGGGGUCUAACUACUGGAAACGGUAGCUAAUAGCGCAUACCAUUGGUUGUGCCCAGAUGGGAUUAGCUAGUAGGUGGGGUAAAGGCUCACCUAGGCGACGAUUCCUAGCUGGUCUGAGAGGAUGACCAGCCACACUGGAACUGAGACACGGUCCAGACUCCUACGGGAGGCAGCAGUGGGGAAUAUUGCACAAUGGGCGCAAGCCUGAUGCAGCCAUGCCGCGUGUAUGAAGAAGGCCUUCGGGUUGUAAAGUACUUUCAGCGGGGAGGCGUUACCCGCAGAAGAAGCACCGGCUAACUCCGUGCCAGCAGCCGCGGUAAUUC